AGCGAACGCUGGCGGCAGGCCUAACACAUGCAAGUCGAACGAACUCUUUGGAGUUAGUGGCGGACGGGUGAGUAACACGUGGGAACGUGCCUUUAGGUUCGGAAUAACUCAGGGAAACUUGAGCUAAUACCGGAUGUGCCCUUCGGGGGAAAGAUUUAUCGCCUUUAGAGCGGCCCGCGUCUGAUUAGCUAGUUGGUGAGGUAAAGGCUCACCAAGGCGACGAUCAGUAGCUGGUCUGAGAGGAUGAUCAGCCACAUUGGGACUGAGACACGGCCCAAACUCCUACGGGAGGCAGCAGUGGGGAAUCUUGCGCAAUGGGCGAAAGCCUGACGCAGCCAUGCCGCGUGAAUGAUGAAGGUCUUAGGAUUGUAAAAUUCUUUCACCGGGGACGAUAAUGACGGUACCCGGAGAAGAAGCCCCGGCUAACUUCGUG
rnacentral:rRNA from 1 species